rnacentral:rRNA from 1 species
UAGACGGUAGCACAGAGGGAGCUUGCUCCUCGGGUGACGAGUGGCGGACGGGUGAGUAAUGUCUGGGGAUCUGCCCGAUGGAGGGGGAUAACCACUGGAAACGGUGGCUAAUACCGCAUAACGUCUCAAGACCAAAGAGGGGGACCUUCGGGCCUCUCACUAUCGGAUGAACCCAGAUGGGAUUAGCUAGUAGGCGGGGUAACGGCCCGCGGGGGCGACGAUCCCUAGCUGGUCUGAGAGGAUGACCAGCCACACUGGAACUGAGACACGGUCCAGACUCCUACGGGAGGCAGCAGUGGGGAAUAUUGCACAAUGGGCGCAAGCCUGAUGCAGCCAUGCCGCGUGUAUGAAGAAGGGCCUUUGGGGGUUUAAAAAUAAUUUCUGGGGGGGGGGAAGGAGGGGAGUUUAUUAACUUUUUUGAUUGACGUUAACCGCAGGAAGAACCCCGGUUAAAUUCGGGCCGGCAGCCGGGGGUAAUAGGGAGGGUGCCAGGCGUUAAUCGGAAAUUACUGGGGCGUAAAGCGCCACGCCGGGCGGUUCGUUAAGUUCAGAUGUGAAAUUCCCCGGGGCUUAACCCUGGGAAACUGCCAUUUGAAAACGGCCAGGCUUGAGUUCUCGUAGAGGGGGGUAGAAUUUCCAGGGGUAGCGGUGAAAUGCGUAGAGUUCCGGAGGAAUACCGGUGGCGAAGGGCGCCCCCUUGGAGGAGGACUGACGUUCAGGUGCGAAAGCGUGGGGAGCAAACAGGAUUUGAUACCCUGGUAGUCCACGCCGCUAAACAAUGUCGACUUGUAGGUUGUUCCCCUGAGGAGUGGCUUCCGGAGCUAACGCGUUAAGUCGACCGCCUCGGGGAGUACGGCGGCAAGGUUAAAAUUCAAAUGAAUGGAGGGGGGCCCGCCCAAGCGGUGGGCCAUGGGGUUUAUUUGGAGGCAACGGGAAGACCCUUCCUUACUCUUGACUUCCAGGGAAUUAGGCAGAGAGGCUUUGGUCCUUUCGGGAAUUUCGAGACAGGUGUGGCAGGGCGUUGUUCAGUUCGUGUUGGGAAAUGUUGGGUUAAUUCCCGCAAGGAGGGCAACCCUUUUCCUUUGUUGCCAGGGAUUCGGUCGGGAACUCAAAGGAGACUGCCGGUGAUAAACCGGAGGAAGGUGGGGAUGACGUCAAGUCAUCAUGGCCCUUACGAGUAGGGCUACACACGUGCUACAAUGGCGCAUACAAAGAGAAGCGACCUCGCGAGAGCAAGCGGACCUCAUAAAGUGCGUCGUAGUCCGGAUCGGAGUCUGCAACUCGACUCCGUGAAGUCGGAAUCGCUAGUAAUCGUGGAUCAGAAUGCCACGGUGAAUACGUUCCCGGGCCUUGUACACACCGCCCGUCACACCAUGGGAGUGGGUUGCAAAAGAAGUAGGUUAGCUUAACCUCCCGGGAGGGCGGGU